rnacentral:lncRNA from 1 species
GUUGUCAGAAGCUGUAGCAGUAACUAUUCUUCAGCUGCUGGUUCUCAGUGUUUUUUCCACAUCUUUGUUGUCUUGCUGAUCUAUGAACAAUUGUGUGUAACUGCAGAUCCACAUGUUCAGGUAAACUGUUGUGCAACACUUAGGUAGACCAUGAAAGCAUAAGAUAAUCUAUUUUUUUAAGCCUUAUAGCAGUUUCCUGCUACAAUUUAGACUGACUUACCUGCCAGCAGGCCAUUUGGUGAUGCUGAAUAUGCCCUCCAUGUAGUUUGCUCUUUCAUAAAAAUAAAGUAUGAACGUUCAUCUUUGGGCACAUGAUGAAUUCAUUAACUUAUUGCCUUCUACACUUUAUAGGAUCCCAGUCUGUGUGUCUGAGAGCUGAUUUAAUCAAGAUAUGUCCUGCAGAAAGUCUGCUCAUCAGGGACAGCAGAAGAGUAUAAGCCAGGAUAUUCCCUUGGUCUUUACAAUAGGGAGCUUUGAGACCGGUUGCAAUCCAGGCAUGAGAAUUGCCCAACACAGAAUCCAGCUGUUGGUGAGGUCAAAUAUUUCUGGCAGUUUGGCUGCUUGAUCCAUAAAAAGAUGAGUCUUAGACAAUGAUAGCAAGUGGAUGAGGAAAAGGCAUCAUGAAACGACACCCAUGUGCUCACUGAAUGACCCCUAAAUAUCUGCAAGGCUCGAAGGAAGAAUGACUUUGUUGUUUUGUUGUUUCAUUGCUAUUCCAUCUGCUUGGCACUAGUAGUGAGAGAAUGAACUUCUUUCACUUUUUACAGGGGAGAGAUUCAGCCCUUCAGAAUGCCCAGUCUUUUCCUCAUCAACAAAGCUGUGAGUAGGUUCCUCAUGGCUUAAUAUUUUACCUGUAACAACAUUCAUAGCAAAGAACUAAGAAAUGUGAAUAAGCAUCUCUCCUAUUCAGAAGUAAAACUUGGUGGCUUUUUUUUCUUUUGUGUGUGUUGUUUGUUUUUUUUUAAAUCAAUACCAGAAAUUGACGUUGGGUAUGAUUUAACAUGAUGCUGAUGAGAUGCAAGUAAUCCUGCCAAACACAAGGACACCUCUAUUAAAAAACUAACCUUUGGAAUGGAAACAACAUAAACUCUUUGUCCAAAUGGUUUAACUGAAUAUUACAUUGAUAUUUACCUGAUUUAAUAUUUUUGGCCAUUUUGGUUUUGAAUUCUAUGAAAUCUUUCUUCCCCACCAUCUCCUAGAGUGUUUUUCUCUUUCGAGAAAUUACAUUCCUUAAUUUUUCCACUUCAAAUCCUAGAUCGGUUUAUCUAGACUGAGACUUCCUGCAGACUUUAAUAAUACUGGGAGGUCUGUCAAUUGGUAUGCACUUGUGGUGUUAUUUUUUUUUAAUAUUACUGCAAAAGGUGGUGCUGAAACAUUAUCUUUAGGACCUCAUUAUCCAAGAGACUAGAACUGUAGAACAUAUAAAUAUAUAUUUUAGUGAAGAACAAACUUUCAAAUGUUGUUAAAACAGUCAGUUUAAUAUAGAACAACUGUAACACUGAUGUGUUGAAUGGCAUUGAUUCAAAAUUGCUGUUCCAGAUCCUGAAUGAUUAUAAAUAAUAUUUCUUUCUAUACAUGCACAAGGAAAAAAAACCACAAGCAAUUGGUUAAAAAAAGUUGGUUAAACAGCACAGACAUUUGCUACUGAAAUUCAGGUGUUCUAAGCUCCAAGGACACUCCAAACAUUUUCUAGCUUAAGAAAAUGUUCAGAAAAAAGUAAAUCAUUUUAUAUUGGCAAUUGGCACUGUAGCAUUUCUCUGUUUUCAUCUUACUUUCUAGACAAUUUUGAGAAGUUACUUCUUCCCUUUUAAUGUGCCUCUGCUGCCUCCAGUUAAAUACAAUGCUUGUGCAAGAAAGGACUGUCCUAACGUCUGAAGUUCCUGUGCAACAAAUUCAAUAUAAAUGUUUCUCUUAGUGUGCUUUAAAAGCUGUAAAAUUUGGAUGGUGAGUACAUAAGCUGAUCUUUAACUAGAGUAAGUUUUCCCUUUGGGUGCAGUUGCUUGCAGGUAGACAGCAACAAAUAACCAGUGACCAACAAGAUACACGCAGUUGAGUUGGUGUGAAUCUGAAAUAGGAAACAUCUUAAAAUGUUUAUGGUCCUUCUCCUCUUCUUUCAUCUCCUGGAUUUUAGUGCUGUGUGGUCUGUGUAUAACAAGCAUCAGAUAGUGGCAACAUUCCAUCCCUUGUACCAUUCAUGCUGUCUCUAACAAAUAGAGAGAAGCAAAUAGAAAAAAAAUUAUGCAGAUUAAUUUAAUGAAUGUGGUUUUGAAGAGAGUUUGCACCUAGGGGAAGAAGAGUAACUUCUGUUAAAAUGUGUGUGAUGAUUGUGGUCAAUGUCUUAAUGAAAUUCACUUAAACGAGACUCGUAUGGUUAAGCAGAACAUGUUUUGGGGUCAAUUAAGUGAAGAGUGUCUAAAGGAUACCUUUAAGUGAGAUAAAUCGAUGAAAUGCUACAUUCAAUUAAGAAUCAUAAAUGUGUAACAAACUAAACAAAAUCAAAAUCUCAGUGUACAUACAAGUAUUGCUGAAUUAGUAGAAAGUGUAGCAGAAUAGGAAAACCAGAUUUUGCCUUAUGGGAGAAUAAUAUUACGUGAAGAAUUAUGUUUGAACUCGUAGUUUUAUAAUUUAAGUUUAACUUGACUAGUAUUACAUUUUGCAAUAACUAGAGAAUUAAAUAGAGGCCUCUUAACAAAACAGAAAUAUCUAUUAGAGACGUUCUUCAGAUGAAGAUUUUAAAAGAGGAAAUAAAACUAGAAGAGCAUGAAACUAAAACUGUUUUAAAUACAAGAGCUGGAUUAUGCAAUGGAAAACUGCAUUAAGUCGGGAUUCUAUUCUUAUUAUGAUGUAUAAUUUCAAACAUAUAUAUUUUCAAUUUCUGAGAUUCCUGAACUCCACUACUAAAAUGAAUAACAAGGUUCACUGAGGUUUAUACACGUGAAGAAAGGCACAGACUCUUUUGUUUCUAGAUCCUGUAACAUAAUACAUACUAAUGUGUAUAAUUAGUAUAAUGCAGUGAUCUUUUGUCUACCUGGGUCUGCCAACCAAGGACUUAGAGGUAGUUUCUGUUGUCAGUGUUCUUCAUGCAAUUGUUGGUGUUUUAUGAAGGUGCACACUGUAAAGUAUUGAUUGACUACAAAGGGCAUCAGCAUUCUCUGACCAAAGCCUAUAGAACUCCACUGUGAUGUAGCUGGCCCUGAACACCUACAUCUCAGGAUAUUGACACAAAGAAAAAAAACGUCCACGUUUUACAUAGAGAUUAGGGAUAUCUGUCUUUAUUGAGAUCUAUUUAGACAGAAGAUGAUACUGGACACUGAUAAGUUUUACUGACUGUGUGUUACUACGCUUUCUGUCUCCUGCAAAAAAAAAAAAAAGAAUAAAAAGACAGGGCAGUUCCCAUGGGAAAUAAAAUGUAAAUCAGCAAAAGUGAACUAUUAGCCCAAAUUAUACAAAUUCAGAAUCUUUUGGCAUUCCUAAUGUGUUACUAAAAGAUAAAGAGCCUAUUGAGAUAACUCUAGUUCUAGUCUGUUGAUCAUAAUUGUCUCAGUAUUAUAACAUUCCCUACAAGAUCCUACAUUAGUCAUAACCUGUGCUUUCAGUAAUACAAAACUUGCACUCCUCAAUGGGUGCCUUCUGUGGAGAGAGGGCACUGUACCUUGGUGCUCUCAGACACGUUGUAUAAUGUAAAAAAAAUAAAUAUAUAUAUAUAUGUAUAU